CAGAGUUCAUGCCCUCACGGGUAGAUCUCCCACCCUUGCGUAUUCAUACCUUUGUUGCUUUGGCAGGCCGCCUGGGCUCAUGCCUGGCCACCGGCUCUCGGGCUGGUGCGUGCCUGCCAGAGGAUCUCCAAACUCUUGUUUUUAGUGAUGUCUGAGUACUAUAUAAUAGUUA
rnacentral:misc_RNA from 1 species